rnacentral:rRNA from 1 species
GAUGAACGCUAGCGGCAGGCCUAACACAUGCAAGUCGAGGGGCAGCAUAAAAUAAACUUGUUUAUUUGGUGGCGACCGGCGCACGGGUGCGUAACGCGUAUGCAACCUACCUUAUACAAAGGGAUAGCCCGGAGAAAUUCGGAUUAAUACCUUAUAGUAUCUAAUUAUAGCAUUAUAAUAAGAUUAAAGCUUUGGCGGUAUAAGAUGGGCAUGCGUCCAAUUAGCUAGAUGGUGAGGUAACGGCUCACCAUGGCGACGAUUGGUAGGGGGCCUGAGAGGGUGGUCCCCCACACUGGUACUGAGACACGGACCAGACUCCUACGGGAGGCAGCAGUGAGGAAUAUUGGUCAAUGGGCGCAAGCCUGAACCAGCCAUGCCGCGUGAAGGAUGAAGGUUCUAUGGAUUGUAAACUUCUUUUAUUUGGGAAUAAACCUCUUUACGUGUAGAGAGCUGAAGGUACCAAAUGAAUAAGCACCGGCUAACUCCGUGCCAGCCGCCGCCGUAAUAC